rnacentral:rRNA from 1 species
UACGUAGGGUGCGAGCGUUAAUCGGAAUUACUGGGCGUAAAGCGUGCGCAGGCGGCUACAUAAGACAGAUGUGAAAGCCCCGGGCUUAACCUGGGAACUGCGUUUGUGACUGUGUGGCUCGAGUGCGGCAGAGGGGGGUGGAAUUCCACGUGUAGCAGUGAAAUGCGUAGAGAUGUGGAGGAACACCGAUGGCGAAGGCAGCCCCCUGGGUCGACACUGACGCUCAUGCACGAAAGCGUGGGGAGCAAACAGG